UACGAAGGGACCUAGCGUAGUUCGGAAUUACUGGUCUUAAAGAGUUCGUAGGUGGUUGAAAAAGUUGGUGGUGAAAUCCCAGAGCUUAACUCUGGAACUGCCAUCAAAACUUUUCAGCUAGAGUAUGAUAGAGGAAAGCAGAAUUUCUAGUGUAGAGGUGAAAUUCGUAGAUAUUAGAAAGAACACCAAAUGCGAAGGCAACUUACUGGAUCAUUACUGACACUGAGGAGCGAAAGCAUGGGUAGCGAAGAGG
rnacentral:rRNA from 1 species